UACGUAGGUGGCAAGCGUUGUCCGGAAUUAUUGGGCGUAAAGCGGGCGCAGGCGGUCCUUUAAGUCUGAUGUGAAAGCCCACGGCUCAACCGUGGAGGGUCAUUGGAAACUGGGGGACUUGAGUGCAGAAGAGGAGAGUGGAAUUCCACGUGUAGCGGUGAAAUGCGUAGAGAUGUGGAGGAACACCAGUGGCGAAGGCGACUCUCUGGUCUGUAACUGACGCUGAGGCGCGAAAGCGUGGGGAGCAAACAGG
rnacentral:rRNA from 1 species